ensembl:processed_transcript
GACGGAAAGGUUGCGGAGGAGGUGUACGUGGCAGCCGGAGGCUCCGUGCUCCGCUCGCCCCGCAGGUGGCCUCGCUGGCAAGCGUGGAACUACACUCACCCAGAUGAUGAGGCUGUCACACAGCGGCAGCUCGGACUGUGGCAGCGGCUGCGGGUCCUCCAUGGUCCGAGAACCUCGACGCCGCGCUCACAGCGACGGACGCGCCUCCGACCGGGCCCGCGUCAACGACCUCCGCGCCCGCCACUGGAGCUCGGCGGCCAGGCCUGGCGCCCGCGCCACUCACGCGCGAAGCCUCACGGCGCAGACGUCGCGGCGCGACCGCCCCCUCGCCCACCGCGUCUGUCCCGCGUCCCGGCACCUGAGCCGGCCCCGCCCGCCGAUCGCACACCGCACGCUGAGUGACCUCUGCGAGCACCAGUCACAAAGAAGCUGGGCACCAGCGAGGCCGGCAGGGCGGGAGGAGCGGGAAUAGGUCGCACAGGAGGGCUGCUGAUUGGACGCGCUCCAGAGACUCUUGGCCAAUCAAGGAGGGGUCACGUUCUGCUCAUAGGAACUCUUGCUAUCUCCACUUGUGCGUCUCCAUUAGCAGUGAUGCUUCUAUACUUUUGGAGAUGGAUUGCACAAGGAACUUUUCCUGGCCUCGUCCUGAAGUCAGCCAUUUCUCCAAGGAGUCCACUUUCCAUGCUGUUGAGAUUGGUACUAAGUAAGACUGGAUUUCUCAAUAUCUACUUCAUUACUAUAAUCCUAUUACUUGGAAUAUGGAUUUUAAUCAGUGUUAACAUAGAGAUGUUCUUGUAAAAACUAAAAUACUUAACAUAGUAAUUUAUUCAAAGUUGUGGAAAUACUUCUAUGCCUGCUGAAUUUGUAGGAAUAAGAAGCUGAAAGAUGAGAGUUCUGGGUACCUGGCAAGAAAGAAGUAAGAGGUUCCUUGGAUGAAGAAAUAAAGCUAAUAGCAAAUUUUUUGACAAGUAUCAUCACCACAGAAUUAAAAUUGUAAAACAGCCUUAUUUUUCACAUGGAAAAAUCCUCAUAUGCCUCUGUUUCUCUGUUAUCACAGUCAUUAUUGUUUAUUUAUUUAUUCUUGAGUGUGACUAGAAUAUUGUGAUGUGUGUGUGGAUCGAAGACAAAGUGCAACUCAAGAGAAUCAGUUCUCUUCUACCAUGUGGGUCCCAGAGACUAAACUGAGGACCCCAAGCUCCAUUACCCACUGAGGUAGCUCAUCAGCCCCCUACAUCAUUUUAAGCCACCCACAGAGACAAUGAUAAGGUCAAAUCACUGAGUUUUGAGGUCAGAAAACUGUGGUAAUGCUGCUGUCUGCUCCACUUCAAACUUUUGUUAUAACCUUUAUAUAGAACGGCCUUCACAGGCAUGACCCUUUGAUUGAAAGUAAGGUUCAAAUGUUCUCCAUACUGCUCUGGAAUUUAUAGGAGGCAGUUUUCUAUUUCAUUUAUAUUUAGUGUUGUUUUAUUAAAGCAGAAAAAUAUCUCAAAA